ACUCAAGCUACAAAGAGCCAAUGGUGGAUGCCUUGGCACUAGAUGCCGAUGAAGGACGUGGGUGACUGCGAUAAGCCACGAGGAGUUGUCUACCUAGCGUUAUAACUCGUGGAUCUCCGAAUAGGAAAACCUAAUUACGUUUAACCGUAGUUAUUCCACACUGAAAACCGAAAGGCC
rnacentral:rRNA from 1 species